rnacentral:rRNA from 1 species
GGGGAAACCCAGUGUGAUUCGUCACACUAUCAUUAACUGAAUCCAUAGGUUAAUGAGGCGAACCGGGGGAACUGAAACAUCUAAGUACCCCGAGGAAAAGAAAUCAACCGAGAUUCCCCCAGUAGCGGCGAGCGAACGGGGAGGAGCCCAGAGCCUGAAUCAGUGUGUGUGUUAGUGGAAGCGUCUGGAAAGGCGCGCGAUACAGGGUGACAGCCCCGUACACAAAAAUGCACAUGCUGUGAGCUCGAUGAGUAGGGCGGGACACGUGGUAUCCUGUCUGAAUAUGGGGGGACCAUCCUCCAAGGCUAAAUACUCCUGACUGACCGAUAGUGAACCAGUACCGUGAGGGAAAGGCGAAAAGAACCCCGGCGAGGGGAGUGAAAAAGAACCUGAAACCGUGUACGUACAAGCAGUGGGAGCACAGAGCAAUCUGUGUGACUGCGUACCUUUUGUAUAAUGGGUCAGCGACUUAUAUUCUGUAGCAAGGUUAACCGAAUAGGGGAGCCGAAGGGAAACCGAGUCUUAACUGGGCGUUAAGUUGCAGGGUAUAGACCCGAAACCCGGUGAUCUAGCCAUGGGCAGGUUGAAGGUUGGGUAACACUAACUGGAGGACCGAACCGACUAAUGUUGAAAAAUUAGCGGAUGACUUGUGGCUGGGGGUGAAAGGCCAAUCAAACCGGGAGAUAGCUGGUUCUCCCCGAAAGCUAUUUAGGUAGCGCCUCGUGAAUUCAUCUCCGGGGGUAGAGCACUGUUUCGGCAAGGGGGUCAUCCCGACUUACCAACCCGAUGCAAACUGCGAAUACCGGAGAAUGUUAUCACGGGAGACACACGGCGGGUGCUAACGUCCGUCGUGAAGAGGGAAACAACCCAGACCGCCAGCUAAGGUCCCAAAGUCAUGGUUAAGUGGGAAACGAUGUGGGAAGGCCCAGACAGCCAGGAUGUUGGCUUAGAAGCAGCCAUCAUUUAAAGAAAGCGUAAUAGCUCACUGGUCGAGUCGGCCUGCGCGGAAGAUGUAACGGGGCUAAACCAUG